rnacentral:rRNA from 1 species
UGGGGAAUUUUGGACAAUGGGGGAAACCCUGAUCCAGCCAUCCCGCGUGUGCGAUGAAGGCCUUCGGGUUGUAAAGCACUUUUGGCAGGAAAGAAACGUCGCGGGUUAAUACCCCGCGAAACUGACGGUACCUGCAGAAUAAGCACCGGCUAACUACGUGCCAGCAGCCGCGGUAAUACGUAGGGUGCAAGCGUUAAUCGGAAUUACUGGGCGUAGAGCGUGCGCAGGCGGUUCGGAAAGAAAGAUGUGAAAUCCCAGAGCUUAACUUUGGAACUGCAUUUUUAACUACCGGGCUAGAGUGUGUCAGAGGGAGGUGGAAUUCCGCGUGUAGCAGUGAAAUGCGUAGAUAUGCGGAGGAACACCGAUGGCGAAGGCAGCCUCCUGGGAUAACACUGACGCUCAUGCACGAAAGCGUGGGGAGCAAACAGGAUUAGAUACCCUGGUAGUCCACGCCCUAAACGAUGUCAACUAGCUGUUGGGGCCUUCGGGCCUUGGUAGCGCAGCUAACGCGUGAAGUUGACCGCCUGGGGAGUACGGUCGCAAGAUUAAAACUCAAAGGAAUUGACGGGGUCAUAGCUGUUUCCUG